rnacentral:rRNA from 1 species
UACGUAGGGGGCUAGCGUUGUCCGGAUUUAUUGGGCGUAAAGAGCGUGUAGGCGGCCAGGUAGGUCUGGUGUGAAAACUCGAGGCUUAACCUCGAGAUGUCAUCGGAAACCAUCUGGCUAGAGUCCGGAAGAGGAGAGUGGAAUUCCUGGUGUAGCGGUGAAAUGCGCAGAUAUCAGGAAGAACACCAAUGGCGAAUGCAGCUCUCUGGGACGGUACUGACGCUGAGACGCGAAAGCGUGGGGAGCGAACAGG